AGACGAAGCCGAAGGGAAACCGAGUCUGAAUAGGGCGAAUAGUAGCGUGGGGCAGACCCGAAGCGAGAUGAUCUAGUCAUGAGCAGGUUGAAGCGCCGGUAAAACGGCGUGGAGGACCGAACCCGUUGAGGUUGAAAACUCUUGGGAUGACUCGUGAUUAGGGGUGAAAGGCCAAUCAAAUCUCGGGAUAGCUGGUUCUCUCCGAAAAAUAUUUAGGUAUUGCCUCGAGUAAUUCAGUCGUGGAGGUAGAGCACUGGAAGGGCUAGGGGUCUCACCAGAUUACCAAACCCUACCAAACUCCGAAUGCCACGAACUGUUACCUCGGGAGGCAGGCGUUGGGUGCUAAGGUCCAACGCCGAGAGGGAAAGAGCCCAGACCGACAGCUAAGGUCCCAAAGUUCUGGCUAAGUGGUAAAGGAUGUGGGAACGCGCAGACAACCAGGAGGUUGGCUUAGAAGCAGCCACCCUUUUAAAGAAAGCGUAAUAGCUCACUGGUCGAGUCGGUCUGCGCGGAAGAUUUACCGGGGCUCAAGCUAUACACCGAAGCUACGGAUGCUAGUUUACUAGCAUGGUAGAGGAGCGUUCUG
rnacentral:rRNA from 1 species